rnacentral:rRNA from 1 species
UACAGGGGGGGCAAGCGUUGUUCGGAAUUACUGGGCGUAAAGGGUUCGUAGGUGGCCACUUAAGUCAGACGUGAAAUCCCUCAGCUUAACUGGGGAACUGCGUCUGAUACUGAGUGGCUUGAGUGCAGGAGAGGAAUGCGGAAUUCCAGGUGUAGCGGUGAAAUGCGUAGAUAUCUGGAGGAACACCGGUGGCGAAGGCGGCAUCCUGGACCGGCAUUGACGCUGAGGAGCGAAAGCCAGGGGAGCAAACGGG